rnacentral:tRNA from 1 species
GCUGGUAUGGCUCAGUUGGUAGAGCAGCUGAUUCGUAAUCAGCAGGUCGCCGGUUCAAGUCCGGCUACCAGCUCCA